rnacentral:lncRNA from 12 species
UUGUUCUAGGCCCUUCAGCUCUGGGAAUCUGUGUCUUUGUUUUGCCUUCUUGGUUCGGUGAAUUCCUGCAGAAGCAAUUUGGGUGUUUCAUGGAUUUAACAGUUUGAGCUUUUGGUAGACUGGAUGGCCACACUCCUGCUCCUCCAGCAUCUGCACAAAACUGUUCCCACCUACACAGUUUUGGCAUCUGUGGCAGUAAUGGCUACAGUGAGUCAACUCUUGGAUGCCAAUGAAACAGAACUAAUCCACAAUAGUCUUGUCAAUGCCACAACCAGCCUCACAAAAGCAACGGAGGAAUUUUCUUUGACUGGUAACAUCUCACAGCCCAAUGUUGCAAUCCAGUUUGCUCCACUGAAUUCAAGCUCCUCUAUGAUUCUGUUUUUG